ensembl:lncRNA
GCAUUUAUUGCUGGCUACUGAGCUAGGAGCUGGAGACAUUCCAAGAGAUGCGCUUUUUCCUCCAACCUGCUUUAGAGGAGCCCCCAGAGCUGUGUCCAGGCCAUGAAAACAUCUUCUGCUUAUAGUGACACCUUAACUGAUGUUGAUUUUCUGCUAGUUGGUGACAAGCAUGAAUCCUUCGUAGAAAAAUCGCAGGAAUCGAGCUGUGUGGCUGGCUCUGCCCCCAGAGACCUGCUGCAUGAUAAUUAAAAAAGAAGAGAAGAAAAAGGACUUUCCUGGUGGUCCAGUGACUAAGUUCCUGAGCUGGGGGCCCGGAUUUGAUUCCUAGUCAGGGGACUAGAUCCAGCGUGUUACAACCAAGACUGGGCACAGCCAAAUAC